AGAUACAGCAGCGCAGCCUAAAUUACAAAGCCUCAGCUGAACAAUUUUGUGAUCUGUGGGCAAAGAAAAACAACCUUGGAGCUCACCUGCUGACAAGGCUGCUGCCUUUGCAGCUCCAGCAGCCUCCGGAGCUGUGCUAGGGCAAUGCCAGCCUCGUUCUGCAGAUUUCUGCAUUAUUCAUACUUCCACAUUGAAAUAAAGCAGGAUGCGAAUUAUAUUCAGCUGUGGCUAUACCUCUACAGCUAGCACGACAGCCAAGCAUGAGUCCUGAGCUGGAAGGAGCUGAUGAAUCAAAGCAGAAGAGAGGAUUUAACAGUAAGAAAAACCAUCUGAAGAAUGAAGGACACUGCUCACCAUCAAAUCUUCCAACACAGCCGCAUCUUUACUGAAGCGACUGCAACUACCGCAGCUUUCUGGUACUCUAAAAUCACGAGUCACUCGAAGGGAAUACACAGUUAAAUGAGAACUAAGCAAAGAAAAACUCAUUGAUGAGUAGAGAGAAAAGGGUAAUAAAAUGCG